rnacentral:rRNA from 1 species
GACGAACGCUGGCGGCGUGCUUAACACAUGCAAGUCGAACGAAGUGGCGAACGGGUGAGUAACGCGUAAUCAACCUGCCCUUCAGAGGGGGACAACAGUUGGAAACGACUGCUAAUACCGCAUACUGAAGGAGGGGAUUGCGUCUGAUUAGCUAGGUGGAGGGGGAACGGCCCACCAAGGGGAUGAUCAGUAGCCGGUCUGGUGAGAUGAACGGGCAAAUUGGGACUGAGGCCCGGCCCAGACUUCUUCGGGAGGCAGCAGUGGGGAAUCUUCCGCAAUGGACGAAAGGCCGACGGAGCAAAGGCGCGUGAGUGAUGACGGCCUUCGGGUUGUAAAGCUCUGUUAAUCGGGACGCGGUACCGGAAUAGAAAGCCACGGCUAACUACGUGCCAGCAGCCGCGGUAAUAC